CACGUAGGGGGCAAGCGUUGUCCGGAUUUAUUGGGCGUAAAGAGCUCGUAGGCGGUUCGGUAAGUCGGGUGUGAAAACUCUGGGCUCAACUCAGAGACGCCACCCGAUACUGCUGUGACUUGAGUCUGGUAGGGGAGUGUGGAAUUCCCGGUGUAGCGGUGAAAUGCGCAGAUAUCGGGAGGAACACCAGUGGCGAAGGCGGCACUCUGGGCCAGUACUGACGCUGAGGAGCGAAAGCGUGGGGAACGAACAGG
rnacentral:rRNA from 1 species